UGCUCAGUGGCACAAUGGUACUGCGCUCGACUGUUAAUCGAGAGUGUGUUGGUUCGAUUCCAACCUGAGCAG
rnacentral:tRNA from 2 species